rnacentral:tRNA from 1 species
GCCUUCAUGGUGUAACAGUAACACAUUCGGCGUGUAUUCGAGAGGUUCAGGUUUGAGUCCCGGCGAGGGCA